rnacentral:tRNA from 1 species
GACUCCGUAGCUCAGCGGGAGAGCACUUGCUUGACAGGCAAGGGGUCGGUGGUUCGAAUCCACUCGGAGUCA